AGAUUGAACGCUGGCGGCAUGCCUUACACAUGCAAGUCGAACGGCAGCACGGGAGCAAUCCUGGUGGCGAGUGGCGAACGGGUGAGUAAUACAUCGGAACGUGCCCAAUCGUGGGGGAUAACGCAGCGAAAGCUGUGCUAAUACCGCAUAAGAUCUACGGAUGAAAGCAGGGGAUCGCAAGACCUUGCGCGAAUGGAGCGGCCGAUGGCAGAUUAGGUAGUUGGUGAGGUAAAGGCUCACCAAGCCUUCGAUCUGUAGCUGGUCUGAGAGGACGACCAGCCACACUGGGACUGAGACACCGGGCCCAAAACU
rnacentral:rRNA from 1 species